rnacentral:rRNA from 1 species
CCCUUUUCCGGUUGAUCCCGCCGGACCCCACUGCUAUCGAGGUGGGACUAAGCCAUGCUAGUCGAACGACCAGAACUAUGUCUGGAAGUGGCAUACUGCUCAGUAACACGUAGCUAACCUACCCUUAGGACGGAGAUAACCCCGGGAAACUGGGGCUAAUAAACGAUAGGUGUGAUGUCCUGGAAUGGUAUCACGCCCAAAGGUGAUAACAGCAUGUUGUUAUCAUGCCUAAGGAUGGGGCUGCGGCCGAUCAGGCUGUUGGUGAGGUAACGGCUCACCAAACCUUUGACCGGUACGGGCCAUGAGAGUGGUAGCCCGGAGAUGGGCACUGAGACAAGGGCCCAGGCCCUACGGGGCGCAGCAGGCGCGAAACCUCCUCAAUGCACUAAAGUGCGAAGGGGUUACCUCGAGUGCUAUCUGAAGAAGGUGGCUUUUACAUUGUCUAAUCAGCUAUGUGAAUAAGAGGGGGGCAAGACUGGUGUCAGCCGCCGCGGUAACACCAGCCCCUCGAGUGGUGGGGAUGAUUAUUUGGCCUAAAGCGUCCGUAGCCGGCCAUGUAAGUCUCCCGUUAAAUCCAGCGUCCCAAGCGUCGGACUGCGGGAGAUACUGUAUGGCUAGAGGGUGGGAGAGGUCAGCGGUAUUCUGGGGGUAGGGGCGAAAUCCUUUGAUCCCCGGAGGACCACCAGUGGCGAAGGCUGCUGACUAGAACACGCCUGACGGUCAGGGACGAAAGCUGGGGUAGCGAACCGGAUUAGAUACCCGGGUAAUCCCAGCCGUAAACGAUGCAUGCUGGGUGUUGGGUCGGCCACGAGCCGCCCCAGUGCCGCAGGGAAGCCGUUAAGCAUGCCGCCUGGGGAGUACGGCCGCAAGGCUGAAACUUAAAGGAAUUGGCGGGGGAGCACCACCAGGCGUGAAGCCUGCGGUUUAAUUGGAUUCAACGCCGGGAA